UAACGAAUCUUCCGCAAUGGGCGAAAGCCUGACGGAGCAAUGCCGCGUGUGGGAUGAAGCGGCUACGCCGUGUAAACCACUGUCAGGGGGCAGGAACAAUGACCGCCCCCAGAGGAAGAGCCGGCUAACCCUGUGCCAGCAGCCGCGGUAAUACAGGGGGCUCGAGCGUUAGUCGGAAUCACUGGGCUUAAAGGGUGCGUAGGUGGCUCGCCAAGUGUUUUGUGAAAUCCCACAGCUCAACUGUGGAACAGCAGGGCAAACUGGCGAGCUUGAGGCAGGUAGGGGCCGGAAGAACAGUUGGUGGAGCGGUGAAAUGCGUAGAUAUCAACUGGAAUGCCGAUGGGGAAGCCGUCCGGCUGGGCCUGUCCUGACACUGAGGCACGAAAGCGUGGGGAGCAAACAGG
rnacentral:rRNA from 1 species